AAUAAAGUAAGCUAAAAUAAGCUGUUGGGUUCAUACCCCAAAAAUGAAUAUUUAUUUCCUUUAUUA
rnacentral:tRNA from 1 species